AGCAUAUGUCGACACACACACACAUAGUGUGUGUGUUCUUGUGUGAAUCAAGGAAGAAGGAGAAGAGAAGGAAUUCAAAAUCAUGCAUGGAUAAUCUAUGAAUUUUGAAGUGUUCAUCAUCUUCUAAGCCUUAAGAAACCACAUUGGCACGGACUCAAGCACGAAAGAAUAAUGGGUCAAAAGGAGGUGAGGAAGCAAGCACGAUCACGAACGCUUAAGGUUGUACGGAAUCACGGAUCAUCAUCACGAGGUGUAAGCGGUCGAAGAUCGAGUCAUAAGAUAGAUUGUACGGGAAUGUGUAAUUAUGCAAUUUAGUAAAAAUAAGUUAUGUUUCAUUUCAUAAAUGAGAACGAAGAAUGUAAUUGUCGUAAAAGAGUUAUUUUAAAAUGUACUUUCAAGUAUGUCAAGACAUUUAUAAACAAAGGAACUUUAAG